UCGGACCCGAGGCAGAUGGAAAUCAGAAUGCAGUGGAUCUUCAGGGUCCAGCCGCAGCAGGCCCAGAAGCCCCCAUGAUAGCCCAGGCCCCUCUGACCUCACCCCUUCUCUCUGGGCAGGUCCCAGCAGCAGAGACAGGAAUCGCCGGACCCCGGGGCCUCCGGGAGCCACGUGUGCCAGCGCAGCGCCUGCCAGCUCCCAGGCUGACCUCACAAUGGCUCCUUUCACCAGGAGAGGAGCUGGCCCGGCCCGGAGCCUGCGGGGGGAUGUCCCAGGCCCCAGGGCGUGGGGUGGGAGGUUGGAAACUGGGGAAUGGGCUGCUGAGGCUGGGAGAGCUGAAGGAUCUCAGCGCCACAUCCACCACCCGAUGUCAAGGCCCAUAGCAAGAGGGUGACGUGGUCUUGGUCCUUGGAACAGCCGUUCCAGUAACAACAGGGGCAUCCCAGCCAGGCUUCUUCUGCAUCUUCCCCUCCUCUCCGUGCCAUCUGCCUCAGGCCUCCAGGAUCUCUUAAAGGGUCUUGCACCUUCCUACAAGUAUCUCUGCCCCCAUCCGCUCCCCCUUCUCGACUCCUAAAGCCCAAAUCUGAUCUAGGCUGCUCAGUCCCCAAAUUAAAGCCUUCACUGGCUCCCCACUGUCCAAAGGACCAGGAGCUCAAGGUCCAGACGGUCAUCUUUGCUCACCCAGCACCUGUUCCUUUUCCUUCUGAUCUCUAAAUGCCUUUAUUCCUGGGAAGCCAUCCCUGCCCCACUCUCAGUCCAUGUGGUUUGGGUGGGGCUCAUGUCUCAGGCAUGUGACCCCAACCUAGUCAAUCAGAGUCUUCUACUCCACCUCCGCACAGGGACUGCUUCAGGCGUAGUCUUAUGACCCAAACCAGUCCAGGGAGUUCCAUUUCCAGAUCCUGUGUUUAAACAUUUGGAGAAAUGAAUGUUUCCUCCUACUGGGCUUGGAACUGGGAGAGUGUCAGCCUGGAGCUGCCCGAAUUUGGAAAGGGCCUGCUCCAGAGUGAAGCCAACACAGGGAAAAGCAGAGAGAUGGAGGACCAAAUCCUGAUGGCAUCAUUUGAAAUCCUAGAUCCAGCUGUACCUGAAGCAGAUAAACUAAAUUUUGCAGUUUCUUGAGUCAAUCAAUUUGCUUUUCAUUUAAGCCUCUCGAGAUUGUGUUUUCUGUCUCUUGAACCCAGGAGUUCUGACCACUACAGAGGUCCUCCCUCCUCUGGCCUCAAACCACCUCUGCGGUCCCACCUGCCUUGCUCUGCCUUGCCACUCCCCCAAACGCCUGUCCUCAGCCUGAAACGUCUGUCUCCCUUCGCUCUAAAACCCCACCCAUCCGUCCGGGAGCUCACGGCCCUUCACAUGGGACAAGAGGCCGCUUCGGAGUUGGAC
rnacentral:lncRNA from 1 species